UACGUAGGGUGCGAGCGUUGUCCGGAAUUACUGGGCGUAAAGAGCUCGUAGGUGGUUUGUCGCGUCGUUUGUGUAAGUCCACGGCUUAACUGUGGGAUGGCAGGCGAUACGGGCAUAACUUGAGUGCUGUAGGGGAGACUGGAAUUCCUGGUGUAGCGGUGAAAUGCGCAGAUAUCAGGAGGAACACCGAUGGCGAAGGCAGGUCUCUGGGCAGUAACUGACGCUGAGGCACGAAGGCCAGGGGAGCAAACGGG
rnacentral:rRNA from 1 species